rnacentral:lncRNA from 1 species
UCUAACAACCGAUUUACUUCAUCAUUACUUGAGUUAUUAGUUCAUAAAAAGCAUUAUUGUAAUAGGCCCAAUUUGCCCGGGCCCAUAAAAAACCAAAAAAACCAAAAAUAAUAAACCAAAUUAUUUAUGGGUCCAAAGUCCAUUUACAAUUCAUUUAACCCAAAAAUAAUAGCCCAAACAUUAAACCUAAUAAGCCUACAACCAAAACCCCUAAUUUAAUUCCUAGCUCAAUUUGCACAUGGCGCAAAUGAGCCCAAUAUUGUGAAAGCACCAGAAACCUUAGAGGUUUCUGGAAUACACCAGCGCUGCAGCUAGCCAGGAUCGGGCUCCCACGAGUGGUUUCCCACGUACGACCUCCACGUCACCAGGGCCUAUUCCUCCGUACGGCCACACUUGCAGCAGAAUACACGAGAAGUAGCAGCAACAGAAUACACGAGAAGUAGCAAUAACAGAAUACGAUGGAAAAAUAGCAAAAAAAGAGAGGAAGUAGAUUUCUUGUAAUUUUAAUUCUUAUUUUUCCGGCUAUAAAAGGCCAUCGUUUGUACUCUAAAAACUUACGCAUACUAAAUAUCAAAAAAGGAUUUCAAAAGCAAUUCUGAAAAGGUGAUUUCUGUUUUUUAGUUUCUUUAAUUUUCUGUUGAAUUUUUCUACCUCCUUCCUUCGAUUUUUUCAUCAUUGCAUUUAAAAACAAAAGAAAGAGGGAAAGCGAGAUCUUACCUUGCGAAUCAGCCAUAUGCUGGUCACCGUUCAUGGUGGUGGAUUGGUGUUUGAAAGAAGAGAUUUAGGGUUUGCUAGUUGAGAAGAAAGGGGCUAGGGUUGGUUCG